UUUUUUUCGGAAAACAAAAUUAAAAAAAAUGUUUUUGGGAGAGAGAGAGAGAGAAGGGAGGGGGGGCGGAGGGGAAGUUUAAGAGAGAUAAAGGGGACCUCUUCAAGAUUUUGCUCUCGCAAAGCCAAAACCAAAGCUCCCUCGCUCUGAUCUGCAGCGAGAAUCCAAAGGACAAGCACAGCCAGCCUAUAGCGAAAGAGAAACCAAAACCAAAACAAAAAACAAACAAAAAAAAGGAUUAAACGAAGAAAAGAACGAGAACGCGAAGAACAGAAAGAGCAAAGUGAAAGCAAAGCAAAGGCAAAAAAAAAAAAAAGAGAGAAAAGAAAAAGAGAAGAAAUUCAUUUCCAUUUCCUUUUUCUUCACAAUUCUUCCUUCUUAUCCAAUCAGUUGAAUUUGUUAAUCUUGACCGCGGUUCUUUUUUUUCCGAGGGGGGAGCGGGGGUGACGGACUAAAGCUUCUGGUGUCACAGUGAUUUGAAUAUAUAUAUAUUUUCUUCCCCCAUUGUUGUUUUCGGAUUUCCCCCGUUUGAAUUCGGGUGGGGCGGAAGAGUCAUGUUGGAGAACCGGUCCUGCGAGUCGUGUUUGGUGUUUGCAAGCUCUUGUCAAAAGGAAAACAAGUGGGCUUACAUGUACCAUGGGAAGCGUCCGCUGGAAUUGGCCGAAUCCGACGGUUGUUCACGGGAAACCAAGAUGUCUAAGCUCUCUUCCGAUGAUUCCUCCGGCGACGAUAAUAAUAAUAAUAAUAGUAAUACGUCUUCCCCACAAGACUCGCGUGACCUCCUCUUGCCUGAUUCACGUGAGCAAUCCGACGACGAUAGUAGGCAAUCUGAUUCUUCUUGGGAUUUGGAUUCGUCGCUUAGCCACCACCAUCCCAUUGGACUAGACCGAACAGAUUCGAAUAACCAAUCAGAGGACGACAGCCUGUCAGAUUCUGUGGAGGACUCACCGGAGGAACAGUCUGAGGAAGAUGGUGAUGAUAAUGGCUUUUCAGAGAAUCCUGAGGAGGAGGACGAGGAGGAGGAGGAUGGUGACCAGAGACAUGCUGGUGAGGAUUUGGAUCAAUUAAUCCAACCAAUUGGGAGAGACAUCUCAAUCAGUUGUCUAAUUAGGUGCUCAAGGUCUGAUUAUGGUUCCAUUGCCUCGUUGAACCGGAGUUUUCGGUCCUUAAUUAGGAGUGGAGAUAUCUAUAGGUUGAGGAGGGAGACUGAUGUGGUUGAACAUUGGGUUUACUUUUCUUGUGACCUCUUUCAGUGGGAGGCAUUUGAUCCGAUUCGACUCAGGUGGAUGCAUUUGCCAAGGAUGCCUCCUAAUGAAUGUUUCAUUUACUCGGACAAGGAAUCCUUGGCUGUGGGAACUGAGUUGCUUGUAUUUGGAAAGGAGGUAACUUCUCAGGUUAUAUAUAGAUAUAGUAUUUUGACAAACUCAUGGACUUCUGGGACCAGUAUGAAUGCUCCGAGGUGCUUGUUUGGAUCAGCUAGUCUUGGUGAGAUUGCGAUUUUGGCUGGUGGUUGUGAUUCUCAGGGAAAUAUCCUGAGCUCUGCUGAAAUGUACAAUUCUGAGACUCAGAGGUGGGAGACUCUCCCAAGCAUGAAUAAGCCAAGGAAGAUGUGUAGUGGGGUAUUUAUGGAUAAGAAAUUCUAUGUAAUUGGGGGAACUGGUGGAUUGGGAAAUGAUGCAAGGGUUCUCACUUGUGGUGAGGAAUAUGAUUUAGAGACAAGAAGGUGGACUGAAAUUCCUAACAUGUCUCCUGGAAGUAAUGCAGCGGCUGGUGAGGCUGAGAUGCCUGCAGCAACUGGGGCACCCCCUCUUGUUGCAGUAGUAAAUAAUGAACUGUAUGCUGCUGAUCAUGCUGACAUGGAGGUAAAAAAGUACGAUAAGGAGAGUAGAACAUGGUUGACUGUUGGAAGAUUGCCUGAAAGAGCAGUUUCAAUGAAUGGUUGGGGUCUUGCAUUCAGAGCAUGUGGAGAUCACCUUAUAGUGAUUGGUGGACCUAGGAAUUUGGGUGAAGGUUUUAUAGAGCUCAAUUCGUGGGUUCCAAGCGAAGGGCCACCGCAAUGGAACUUGCUAGCCAGAAAGCAAUCGGGUAACUUUGUGUAUAAUUGUGCUGUGAUGGGAUGCUGAGAGAUGAACUUUGGUGGCAUUGUGUGCAGUUGAAUGGUGCCGCACUGCCACUGGGGUUUACAUGAUUGGUUUCUCCUCCAACACAGAAUUCUUGCUAAUGUGGAUGCUCCAGCCUUGAUCUUUGCAAAUUUAUUGAUAGCAUGGCGACCGUCUAUUUUAUGAAAUAUCUCUUUGGAGUAGUUCAGAGCAUGUUCUGCAAUGAUGGAAAUCUCAGUUUUCAUGGUUUUAGGAAGACCAUGUAUGUCUCAAAGAAUAUGUCAUAAAGUGAAUAUCAAGGUUUCACUUAGUGUGUGAAACUACAAGUAAACCAGCAAUAACAGCAUAAGAAACAGUGUGAUGUACCGCUAAUAUGACAUUUUCGCUGCGACUCUGUUGGGGGGGUUGCAAAAGAAGUUUUUCUUUUAGAAGCCAUGUUUCAACAAGAUAUUAUAUACAUACAAACAUGUAUGUAUGUAUGUAUGUAUGUAUGUAUUUGAGGGCAUUGUCGAAAAUCUAUUCUUCCUACAUAGACAGGCUCAUAGUAUCUAACUCUUGACUUUUGUGUGGUUGAUGCUGGAUAUUGGAGGUCACAUAGAAUUGUCUGGCCUUGUAGGAUGUACAUGUACUUUUUCCUUACAGCAUGGAGAUGCAAUGGUUUUUUUUUUAAGAUUUCAGUUUAGAGAGAUAAAUAGAAUAACAUACUUAAUCUC